rnacentral:rRNA from 1 species
CCUCUAAUUGAACGCUGGCGGAAUGCUUUACACAUGCAAGUCGAACGGCAGCAUAGGUGCUUGCACCUGAUGGCGAGUGGCGAACGGGUGAGUAAUACAUCGGAACGUGCCCAGUCGUGGGGGAUAACGUAGCGAAAGUUACGCUAAUACCGCAUACGAUCUACGGAUGAAAGCGGGGGACCGUAAGGCCUCGCGCGAUUGGAGCGGCCGAUGUUAGAUUAGGUAGUUGGUGGGGUAAAGGCUCACCAAGCCGACGAUCUAUAGCUGGUCUGAGAGGAUGAUCAGCCACACUGGGACUGAGACACGGCCCAGACUCCUACGGGAGGCAGCAGUGGGGAAUUUUGGACAAUGGGCGCAAGCCUGAUCCAGCCAUUCCGCGUGCAGGACGAAGGCCUUCGGGUUGUAAACUGCUUUUGUACAGAACGAAAAGCCUUGGGUUAAUACCCUGGGGUCAUGACGGUACUGUAAGAAUAAGCACCGGCUAACUACGUG